CUUCGAGACACGACAGAGAAAACAAAGGCCGCUGUUACGUUCUUUCUGCGUAGCACUAGAAAUCACUCGCUGGUUAACAAUUAAUCUGCUCACAAUUCCAAACGGGGUGUAGCUGCAAUGUGACCACACCUGUCUUAUGAGAAAGCUACACCAAGUGACACAUUUUUGGGCAUGUGCCUGGACUAUCGAGAGAUACAACAGGAAGCGUACGUCGUUGUUUAGGUGUGAGAAGGUGAGCGGCUGCUUACACCACACUGAGAACAAAUGAAAACAGCGUCGUGCGGGAUGAAUUGAGGACCGGCCUUACAUAGUAGACUGUGAGAAUUUCCUUGCCCUACGACCUUUCCAAAAAGUGGCACAGAAGUCUCGUCAGAAAGUGAAAGCACCCGUGAGAGCGGAAAGUGGAACCACGUGAGACCUGACCGGGGGAUGCGACCUGGGACCUUACUCGCCAAAAGGAAACCUCCCAAUGGGAGAGGACUUGUCAGAAAGAGGAACCUUGACUUUCCUGAGAAGACAGACUUUGUGCCUUUCCAGAAAUGCCCUUCUCAGGUAGUCCAAGAAAGUGUGCAGUUGCCCAACAGGCAGCUCAAAGACAGGCAUGUUGCACUUGUUGAGGUUCUCUUCCACAUGAGACAAAAACACAUUUCCCCGUAUCAUUCGAGAACGGCCAGGCCCCGAUGCCUCGGUGAAAUCGACACCAGUUUCAAAAAGGUCAGUCAGUAGUGAUGAACAAAUGAAGCUUCAUGAAGCACUUGUCAUAUUUUUUUUUACUCCUAAGGGUGACACUCUUGGUUUGAAGUUGAAAUUUAAUACUAUUCCAUUGUGCGUUUACUUCAAGACCAUCUAGAGGAGCAAAAAAAGAAGGUAAGUGCUUCAUGAAGCUUCAUUUUCCUGUCACUACCUUACAGUAAAUGGCAGCCCUGAGCGUGUUAGGUUUAAAAGAUGAUGGCCUGUAAGUGGAGGUACGUGUGAUGGAUAUCUGAAAUCACAAAGUAUGCUAUGCUAGGCUGAGAAUUCAACUGUAAUCUAACAGUUAGUACAAUUCUCUUGUCCAAAAGAUGACAUUUUCCAUGAGAUUGACAGUAAGGACGAGGGCUUAGAAAUGAGCUGUGUGGAACUCCGGGGUGGGUAAAUCACAGGCUGGUGAAAUCACUGAAAUCAUAAUAAAUCUGUCCGUCUAUUUUCCACAAAAACGGCAUAGAAUUAAUAGUCGGAAGAAUGAGCCAUGUGGGAUAAGUAGGGUCACUCACUCUGGCAUGUUGGAAUGUCGCAGUACCGCCAGUAAAUCCCGUCUUCGUGGUCUGCAAUGUAGCACCAUGGCUGGACGUCCCCGUCGGGGUUCCUUUAUUCAAAUCAAAACAAAUGUUAAUUAAUUAACAAUCGCAAUCAUGAGAAUCAGCGAGGAAAUCGCCAAAUCUGCGGCGAGCUGCCGUUUCGCAGGGAAGAAUGAAGAUGUCCAUUUUGCUCGGACGUGAAAUGUAAAAAC